rnacentral:rRNA from 1 species
UACGUAGGGUGCAAGCGUUAAUCGGAAUUACUGGGCGUAAAGCGUGCGCAGGCGGUUUUGUAAGUCUGACGUGAAAUCCCCGGGCUCAACCUGGGAAUUGCGUUGGAGACUGCAAGGCUAGAAUCUGGCAGAGGGGGGUAGAAUUCCACGUGUAGCAGUGAAAUGCGUAGAGAUGUGGAGGAACACCGAUGGCGAAGGCAGCCCCCUGGCUCAUUACUGACGCUGAGGCUCGAAAGCGUGGGGAGCAAACAGG